rnacentral:lncRNA from 1 species
AGUGGCAUCAUUGCACUGUGACUGUGCAGGUCCCAAACAGUAUGGACAUGAAUGUCCUCAAGCUGCAUGUUAGCAGGGCUUCUAAUUCCAUCUGCAAGUGAUAGUGUGUGGAGCUUAGUUGCACAGAGCGCAUGUUACUGGAGGAGAUAUGGGUCUGUGUCAUCCUGCAUGGGAAUGAUCCUAAAAACAAAGUGAUCAGUGACUGCUCAGGACUGUGGAAAGGUCACUUGGAGCAGUGGGAAAAGGUCUGGCAGAGGAAUAAGAAGAUACAGGUCUUAGAACAAGCCCUGGGACUUCAACCAAGUCAUUUAACAUCUGGGGCCUUCGUUUAUUUAUCCUCCCAGCAGAUAAAGCAAUACCUGCCCUGUCUUCCUAACCUUGGAGGGGUCAAAAAAGUGAUGGGUGUGAAAGCAUUUUGUAAACUGUAGUGCAAGCAUACGGCAGGGGAGUGAACCAUACUUUCACUAGCGACUUGAAUGAGGUGAUAAAGAAAAGGCUCAGAACUUCAGAAAAUGCAAGAGGGGCUUGACCCUGGAUUGGCAGAGGAAAGCAAUGGUGGGAUCGAUACCUUGGAGAGCCAAGGACCAAGGGGUUAAGGGUCCAUGAGGACAGGCCUGGAUCAUCAGGAAGCUGAGUGUGGUAAGACUGUGGCUUCUUCAGGGAUUGGGUGGAGUACAGUCCUGCCAAGACCACAGUAACUCAGGGCUUGGAGACAUCACAAAGGCAGGGGCUCCUAGAGCUGAGAUAAUCUGGAGAAGAGGAUACCCAUCUACUGCAUUCUGAGAUUGGGUUCGACCUGUAGGUCAUCUUGGAUAGACGUUUUCCAGCUCUUCUUUUUUUUUUUUUUUGGAACAGAGAGAACCUAAUUGACCCUUAAAGUUCCACAGAGCAGAGUUUGCAAAUCUCUGGUUCAGCCUUAUUAUUUAAAUGAGAGGAGAAUGAAAUCCCAGAAAAGAGAUGUGAUUAUGUGAAGGUCACACAGCAAGUUAGUUGCCAAGCUGCAACUGGAACUCAGAAUUUCUGGUUCCCAGUUCUAUAUCUUAGCCUCCCAAACUGGCUAUGUGGACAGGAAAGAACAGAGUAAUGGGGUGAGCUUUAAGGAUGCAAUUUCAUAGGAUUCCAAGAGUCUCAAGGUUAGAGAAGUCGCCUAGUCCACCUCCCCUCUCUGCUUCUCACAGAAGGGUCUGCUGAACACUCUGGUGACAGAGAACUCACCCAACAUGUUCCAUGGCAGAGGCUUUUCAUUAGAUCAAGGUGACAUCUGUUUUACUGGAGCUUCCAACCACGUGUCCCAAUACUGCCCUUAGUCACAGGCAUCCAGGUCCUCUCUCUCAGGACAGCACUUUGAAUAAAUGAGGACAGCUCCCAUCCCCCUUUCUCCCAGUUGACUUUCCAGAAACAUCUCAUAUUGUUGUUGGCUUUCCACCAUUUUUCCUCUUCACUUCCUGGGCCUACUACUACACUGUGUGUCCUCCACUUGGUCUCUUCCUGAAAGCAACACUGUGCACAAUGUUCCUGGGGGCAGACUUAUUAAACCAAGUGGACCACUUCCUUCA